CGCCGCCCAGUUCCCAUAGAGUAAAUGGAAUAAGUGGAUCUGCUAUGGCCAGAAGCAAUCAGCUAGCAUUGGUUGUCUCUCUGCCUGAGCACCGUGCCCCUUCUGUAGCCCUGCAGGCUCCAGGGAGUGUGCUGAGCUUGGUGGUUGCCUGCAGACAGAUGCUCUGCCCCAGGGCAGCCACAGUGCCUUGGAACACACUGCUCAUCCCAGGGGCUCCUCCCUGGGCGUGGGGCAAAACUUGGCCACGGGGGCUGCACACCCCUCUCCUGUGCCCUUCCUGAGGAUAAGGACAGACUGUGGUCCUCCAGUGCAGGGUGGUGGGUGGUGAGGGGAAGAUGCUCCCUGCGCUUCAUCCCCUGCUGUACUUUGGUGAAGAGUAAAACCAGCACUGGGUAUUUUAUUGAAAAUGUUCUUGUUCUCUCUCCAGCUCUCUUUCCUCAAAUCUAAAGCCUCUUUUUACAUCCUCUGCUCUGUAAGGGCAAGCACACAAUGCAUCAGGCCUACCAGAAGGACGUGUUUCGUGGAAGGCACUUCGACUCUGGGCAUUGCUGUAAGAGCUCUUCAUCCCACACCCAGUCCUGAGCAGCGCACGCUCAGGUGGAGUGGAGGUGGUGGAGUGGUGGAGGUGCAAAUGCAGUGCAUUGUGAGGAGAGAUCAGCACAGCUAUGGAGGAUUUUGCUCAUUGAAGCCAUUUGCUAUCGGUGGAGUGAAGAGAUAGUCAAGGUGGUGCAAAGCCCUUCUAAAACAGGAGUGGAGCCGCCCAAUGCAGCUCGGACACAGCUACAGGAUUCCUGCAUUGGGGAGCACUGCCCAGUCACAGCCUUCAAUCUCAAGUCCUCAAUCAGAGAUUUUCUGGGAGAGUGGGACUAAGGGCACUGGCCUCCCAUCCCCGCUGCUCACCCUCCACCAGGCAGGUGGAUGGGAACACGGGGCAGACUGUGUUUGCAACCUGCACCUUCAUGCAAACCCAUUUUGCAAAUCAUCAGUAGCAUAGAGUACAACCAUGGGAAGGGAACAAGAAAGUGGUGCUCCUAGUCUGGGGCCCUUGACCCAAAGCUUAAAGCUGCAUUUCCUGUGCUGUUCUGGGUGUAAUUUGUGUUCCAAGAAGAGGCCAGUUUGCUGCUGCUGGUGGCAAGUGCAAUUUCCAUAAAGAAAUUCAAUAAUAGCAAUAAAAAAAAAGUGUAUGCUC